AGCAAGCAUGUAAACAGAACUACUGUAUGUUUUGCUAUUAAAAAGACCUAUUUCCGUCCUUUGCUUUCACAGAGAACUUGUGAAAUAUGGAUUUUUUGGUGGAGUUGACUGAUGCACUUUCAAUGGAAUGAAGUGGGCAGCAUUGGAGAAUCUAUCCAGCAGGAGCUGUGGGAAAGAUGCUAGUUUGAACAGCUUGGCCGAACAGAGUUAUCUUAGAAGGGUUGUUUUAAAAGGAUUAAGAAAAUAUUACGACAUAGACUUACCCAGGACUUACAUAGUGGCUAUAUCUGCACCAUAUAUUGAAGGGCUGUGCUGGAAUGUGACGAUUGCUCUCCUUUCUUUGCAGAUGUUGCCACCACCAAGUGUGGGAGUCUGGAGGAAUAUCAGGAGGAUGUAGCUGUGAAAAUGCA